UACAUGAUGAGAUAAGUUGGCAAUGAAAGUCCAAAAGCUGCGUGUGAGAUUCUGAUCAAAACUGUAACUUGGUCUCUGCUUAAAUGCUAUCUUCGUUUCUGACUUUUCAAAUGUUGCAUUAAUCAUUUCUCCCUUUUGCAGCAUGCGGAUAGCGAACAUCGGUGGUAAGACGCCAAGCAGUAAUCUUAGUUCUUCUCCCUCCAGCCAUAUGUAUGAAUUGCUCCCUCACUUUAUGCUAUGAUCAUGUAGAAAUGA
rnacentral:misc_RNA from 1 species